rnacentral:misc_RNA from 1 species
UUAAGUUCAGCGGGUAUUCCUACCUGAUCCGAGGUCAACCACGAAAAUAGGGGGUUUUCCGGCAGGCCACCGCCCGAACGCCCAUAGCGAGAUGUGCUACUACGCUCGGUGCCGGGACGGGACCGCCGCUGUCUUUCGGGGGCUGCGGGAUGCAGGGCCCCAACGCCAGGCGGAGCCUGAGGGUUGAAAUGACGCUCGAA